rnacentral:rRNA from 1 species
GACGAACGUUGGCGGCGUGCUUAAUACAUGCAAGUCAACUGAAGCAGUGGUAGCAAUAUCGCUGUGGAGGUGGCGCACGGGUGAGUAACACGUAGGUAAUCUGCCUUCAGGUCUGGCAUAACUCCGGGAAACCGGGGCUAAUAGCAGAUGAUGCAGCGGCUCGACAUCGAGACAGUUGUUAAAGCUAUGGCGCCUGAAGAUGAGCCUGCGUCUGAUUAGCUAGUUGGCGGGGUAACGGCCCACCAAGGCAACGAUCAGUAGCUGGUCUGAGAGGAUGAUCAGCCACACUGGAACUGAGACACGGUCCAGACUCCUACGGGAGGCAGCAGUAAGGAAUAUUGCGCAAUGGGAGAAAUCCUGAAGCAGCAACGCCGCGUGAGGGACGAAGGGCUUUUGCUUGUAAACCUCUGUAGUGAGAGAAAAAAAUCCCAAUCUUUGGGACAUGAUGGUAUCUCAAAAGUAAGCCCCGGCUAACUACGUG